AUCCCUGUAGCGCAUUGGGUAGCGCAUUGGACUUCUAAACCAAAGGUCGUGGGCUCGAAUCCCAUUUGGGAUG